rnacentral:rRNA from 1 species
GCAGCACAGGGAGCUUGCUCCCGGGUGGCGAGUGGCGCACGGGUGAGUAAUACAUCGGAACGUGUCCUGUUGUGGGGGAUAACUGCUCGAAAGGGUGGCUAAUACCGCAUGAGACCUGAGGGUGAAAGCGGGGGAUCGCAAGACCUCGCGCAAUUGGAGCGGCCGAUGCCCGAUUAGCUAGUUGGUGAGGUAAAGGCUCACCAAGGCGACGAUCGGUAGCUGGUCUGAGAGGACGACCAGCCACACUGGGACUGAGACACGGCCCAGACUCCUACGGGAGGCAGCAGUGGGGAAUUUUGGACAAUGGGGGCAACCCUGAUCCAGCCAUGCCGCGUGCAGGAUGAAGGCCUUCGGGUUGUAAACUGCUUUUGUCAGGGACGAAAAGGAUCGUGAUAAUACCAUGGUCUGCUGACGGUACCUGAAGAAUAAGCACCGGCUAACUACGUGCCAGCAGCCGCGGUAAUACGUAGGGUGCAAGCGUUAAUCGGAAUUACUGGGCGUAAAGCGUGCGCAGGCGGUUCUGUAAGACAGAUGUGAAAUCCCCGGGCUCAACCUGGGAAUUGCAUUUGUGACUGCAGGACUAGAGUUCAUCAGAGGGGGGUGGAAUUCCAAGUGUAGCAGUGAAAUGCGUAGAUAUUUGGAAGAACACCAAUGGCGAAGGCAACCCCCUGGGAUGCGACUGACGCUCAUGCACGAAAGCGUGAGGAGCAAACAGGAUUAGAUACCCUGGUAGUCCACGCCCUAAACGAUGUCUACUGGU